AUGUUUCUUUACUGGGGGUCAAGGAGGUGCAUCCCUGGAGAUCCUCCAACGAAUACCUUGUCCUGGCUCCCUAGACAUUCCCACGCGGGGCUCCUAGAGACCCUUCCCCUAUGCAGGGCACAUAAAGACAGACAAAGGUCUGCCGCCUUUGCAGGACACAAAAGGGGGUGUGCAGGCUCCACAGCCCUUCAGCCCCACCUCACCCUCCCCAACUGCAGAGCGCAGGUGCCCCCCAACCCCUCCCAUCUCCGAAGGGCACGCAGCCCCGGGCUCCGAGCUCCAGCAUCCUCUCGGACCCCUCCCUUCGCGACGCGCGCGGCUCCCACCCUGGGGCUCGGCCUCAAAGCCUCCUUCCUCAGUUGUCGGCUUGGAAGACACCCGGCGGCUGCGGCGCGGGCGGCGCCCGGGAGAGCGCGGCGUCGCCGAGCAGCCGCAGUCCCGCCGGGCCCCGCCCAGCGGCAGCCGCGAGCCAGGCUGCGCCGGGGACCAGUGCAGAGCGCGCCCUUUUCCAGGUGUCUGACCCAAUCCGCCUCCAGGACCGAAUCUCUUUCUGGUGGGGGCCCUCCGCCGAGACCGCUGGUGAGUGGGGCCGGGGGCCUCAGACUCUUAGGUCCGAGCCGGGGAGGGGUUCUGGGGUCUGGACUCCUGGAUCUGAAGGAGGAGGGGCUGGGGAAUUUGGUCGCCUAGAUCCUGAGACAUGAGGAGGAAGUAUGUUCAGGAACUGGUCUCCUGUGUCCCCAGGAAGCUCUUGUGAGGGACAGCUGGGCUGUGACCCUGCCCUCCUACACUGGAAAGAGGAAGUUUUAUUGCCUGGGAGUUGAGAGAGGCCUUUUGAGCUUGCCAGAGGUGUUUCCCUGGUGGCUCGGUGGCCAAGAAUCGGCCUGUAAUGUAGGAGACAUGAGACUGGGGUUCUAUCCCUUAAUCGGGAUGAUCCCCUGGAGGAGGGCAUGGCAACCCACUCCAGAGUUCUUGCCUGGAGAAUCCCAUGGACAGAGGAGCCUGGCGGGCUGCAGUCCAUGGGAUCGCAAAGAGUCGGACAUGGCUGGAGUGGCUGAGCAGCAGUAGCCGAGAGAUUAGCUAUUUUAGGGCCUGAGUGAGGAUAUGGACACUUGGUCAGGAGUUUGAGGCCAGGGCCUCAUUCCUGAGUCUUUGGGACAAGGACACUGUCUUUCUGAACCUGAGAGACCCAGAGAUUUCAGUGGCCUGGGUCAGGGGAGGGGGCUGAGGUUCCCGGAAGUUGGGGACUAGCUGGCUUGGUUCCUGAAGGGGCCUGAACCUCAUGUUGGGGGAGAGGCAGGAGGAAGCUUGACUUCCUUUGGGUUGAACUUCCCCAGGCUCCUCAGUGGGGUGCAAGUUCCCCAGGCUUCCCAGGUGGUGCUAGUGGUUAAGAACCCACCCGCCAGUGCAGGAGACUCCAGUUCAAUCCCUGGGUGGGAAAGAUCCCCUGGAGAAGGGCAUGGCAACCCACUCCAGUGUUCUUGCCUGGAGAGUCCCAUGGACAGAGGAGCCUGGCAGGCUGCAGUCCACGGGGUCACAAGGGUUGGACACGACCAAAACGACUUAACACACAGAUACCCCAGACCUAAAUCCCUGUGGCCACAGGAGGGGUGCUGCUGAGGUUGCUAAUACCCAGUUCCACCUGGGGAGAGACUCCCCUUCAGUGAGAGGUGGCAGGCUGGAAGACUGGGAGCUCUGAUCAGAUGUGGGUCCCUGAGAAGUUCCCCGAGUGAUGGCUAGACUCUUGAAUGUGUCUGGAGGCUGGAAGUGUUUGUUAGAUCAAAGAAAGUUCUGGCUGCAGAUCCCUGGGUACCCAAAGGAAGGAAGUUGCAGGGGUGGGUUUUUUAAGAGAUCACAGAAGACAGGGUCUCUUAUUCUGAUGGGGGUGGUGGGGAGGGCACAAGACGGGGACGCUUUAGAGCACAAUCCUUUUUUUUUUUUUGGUUGUAACCCAGGGCAUGUAGGAUCUUAGUUCCCCAACCAGGGAUUGCCCCCUGCAUUGGAAGUGCGAAAGUCUUAACCACUGGUCCACCAGGGAGGUCCCUAGAGUAGAAUCUUGAGUGGCUGGGUUGCUGAGUCCCUGGGGGAAGGAGAGCAGCUUUGUGUGUCUGGAGUGGAGGGGGGAUAAAAAAGAGACGUGAUUUUACAAGAGUUGGCUUUCAGGGUUAAGAAAGAAGGGUCCUGGGGAAAAGAGAGACAGGGUACCUACCCUCCUGAGCUCUGACAUGAGGCUGGAGUGGGGGGGGGCUAACACCUGGACCACCAGCAUCCCUGUAGGCCUGGGACUGGCCCGGUUUGAAAACUGAAAGGCCCAAAUCCCGGGUACCCCUCCAGCUAGAGUCCAGAUUACACCAUCCACAAUGGCCCCUCCAGGGAGGCAAGUGCCCCAGGGUGGGGGGGACCCUGGAUCCUCCAGUUUGGAAUGUUCUUAGGAUCU
ensembl:lncRNA